ACCCUUACUAAUUAUUGGAUGACUCCAUAACUUAUGGAGGCCACUAUGCUUGAACUAGUAACAAGAAUCCGAUUUUCUCCUAAAUAUUAAUGUAAGCCGCAACAGACAAACUAACGGCAAUCAACGCUAUUAAACCAAUUACAACAACCCUCAAGAGAAACUUGUAAAAUACAACGUUACCCUUACACAAGUAUAUUCCAGGAAAGAUUAAAAGAAAGAGAAGGAACUCGGCAAACUUUAACCCCGCCUGUUUACCAAAAACAUCGCCUCUUGCUUAAAUAUAAGAGGUCCAGCCUGCCCAGUGAACAUUAAACGGCCGCGGUACCCUAACCGUGCUAAGGUAGCACAAUUACUUGUCCUUUAAAUGGGGACUAGAAUGAAAGGCAUCACGAGGGUUAUACUGUCUCCUCUUUUUAAUCAGUGAAACUGACCUCCCCGUGAAAAGGCGGGAAUCAAAAUAUUAGACGAGAAGACCCCAUGGAGCUUCAGAUACCAAGUAAGUCUCAGCCAAAUCCACCACAGCUCCUGACUUCUACCUUUGAAUCUUCGGUUGGGGCAACCAUGGAGUAAAAACUAACCUCCACACUGAAUGGAUAUUCCUUAUUCAAGACCCACCAAUCUAAAAAACAGAAUACUGACACAACUGAUCCGGAAUCCGAUCAAUGAACCAAGUUACCCUGGGGAUAACAGCGCUAUCUACCUUGAGAGCCCCUAUCGACAGGUAGGUUUACGACCUCGAUGUUGGAUCAGGGUGUCCUAGUGGUGCAGCCGCUACAUAGG
rnacentral:rRNA from 1 species